rnacentral:rRNA from 1 species
UACGGAGGAGGCAAGCGUUAUCCGGAAUUAUUGGGCGUAAAGCGUCCGUAGGUGGGUGAGGAAGUCUGCUGUUAAAGAGUGAGGCUUAACCUCAUAAGGGCAGUGGAAACUCUUCGUCUAGAGUGCGACAGGGGCAAGGGGAAUUCCUAGUGUAGCGGUGAAAUGCGUAGAGAUUAGGAAGAACACCGGUGGCGAAAGCGCCUUGCUGGGUCUGCACUGACACUGAGGGACGAAGGCUAGGGGAGCGAAAGGG